UACGUAGGGGGCAAGCGUUGUCCGGAUUUAUUGGGCGUAAAGCGCGUGUAGGCGGCCCGGUAAGUCCGCUGUGAAAGUCGGGGGCUCAACCCUCGGAUGCCGGUGGAUACUGUCGGAGCUCGAGUACGGAAGAGGCGAGUGGAAUUCCUGGUGUAGCGGUGAAAUGCGCAGAUAUCAGGAGGAACACCAAUUGCGAAGGCAGCUCGCUGGGACGUUACUGACGCUGGAGACGCGAAAGCGUGGGGAGCAAACAGG
rnacentral:rRNA from 1 species